rnacentral:rRNA from 1 species
GGACUACUGGGGUAUCUAAUCCUGUUUGCUCCCCACGCUUUCGAGACUCAGCGUCAGUAAUGGGCCAGUGUGUCGCCUUCGCCACUGGUGUUCUUCCGAAUAUCUACGAAUUUCACCUCUACACUCGGAGUUCCACACACCUCUCCCAUACUCUAGAUCGCCAGUAUUGAAGGCAAUUCCGAGGUUGAGCCCCGGGCUUUCACCCCCAACUUAACGAUCCGCCUACGCUCCCUUUACGCCCAGUAAUUCCGAGCAACGCUAGCCCCCUUCGUAUUACCGCGGCUGCUGGCAC